GAAAGUCACACAUAGAAGCUAGAAUACAUUUACACAGCACCACUUCCUCCUCUCAGAUAGCAUCAGAUCAUGUAACUGGGUCAAACCAGUCAAAAGGACUUUGCUUUAGUUUGACUUUUGUUCUGCUGUCAGUCUGAACAGAAAAUAUUGGAGUAACAUUUGGUUAUGCAGUUGGUCAGUAUGUGUGGAAAUAUAUUCAGGCUUUCUCUGCUUUUGCUGCUGCUGGGUCAAUGCUCAGCUGUUGAAGUGACUCAAAAUAAAAUAUUGGAGACCAGAGGAGCAGAUGCCACUCUUUUCUGCCCAAAGCAAACCCUCACUGACAUCAGUACUGUAGUAUGUCACAAAAAUAGAGUUAUAAGUGGAGGUCACGAGUGUAGAGUUUCACACGACGUUGAGACAAAUCAUACCAACAGCUCUUGUGACCCCAGAGUCACACUACAGAUAGAGAAUGACAGAGUGUGUCUACACAUCACCAACAUACAACCAUCUGAUGAAGGCAACUACACCUGUCAGUGUGGAUAUAAUGGGGGACGGGAUUAUAUAGACAUACAUAUUUCUGUCAAUGGAGCCCAAGUGCAACAGGCCACAGACAACAGUCUCUUCUAUUUGGGGAUGAUAACAGGCGUUGCAGCAUGUGUAGCUGUCCUGGUGUUUGGUGGCGUAAUCAUGAGGAAAAUUCAUCUCAGAACACAGCUACAAGUGUCUGGAAACGUCAAGGAGGUGCCACAACAACACUAUUUAUGUUUUUUUGUUAUUUGUUUACACCUGUUAUUGCUAGCUGGUGCAUGUUAGUCAUAAGAAGGCAUCUUCAGAGACUACCCAACAAACCAAAAUUGGUUCUGUGAACGUUCCUAGAACAUUAAUUAGAUUGUCCCAAAAUGUCUAAUUAACCCUAACUAGAAUUUAAAGGAAAAAUCACUCAUUCCCAUAAUUUACUAAAUGAAAUAACACUAUAUUUUUCAUUUUGGCGUUUCAUGUGAAAAUCUGUUAACUACAAAAUCCACAAUGCAAUGCUGUCGCUAUUAUGAGCUGACUGGCUAGCUAGCUGGCAAACGUAGCUACACACAAUAAUAGCAAAGACACAAUCAGCAUAGUAGCCUAAACAAACUGCACUAUCAAUUUAGGAGUCUACAAUCUCGCCAUGUUUAACCUGCAGAUCGAUGUGCCUCACAGAGUGGAGUCUGACAUUCACAACGACACCGUGCAAUGCACCCUGGACUGAAGAUGCAGCCAAAUAGGAGAAAUGUGUUAGACCCUCUGUAAUUUAACAGAUUUCUCGAGGAGGAGCAACGGGACAUUGAGCCCUACAGCACAUUCACAAGGAAAACCAAUGGGCUUUACUCAACUCUCCAGCUGCUUAACCCCUGACCCUGAUCCUCUUGCACUGUUGACCAAUGAUGACAUGGUAUUAGACACAUUUUUGUAGCAUACAGCUUAUACAGUGGAGUGGUAGAUAUACAUUUACUGUGCAAGGUAUGAAAAGGCCCUUUGAAAGUCUGCCUAUUUUUUUCCUGUCUGACUUGCCAUACAUCAGCCUCUCCUUUACUGUAGAUCUUCUGUGGUGGUUGUAUAUAUCAACACAUACUGUCUGCAGGCUGCACAUCUGUUAUGGAAAUACAAUUGUUAAAUACAUGUUUCAAAAUAAUUAUAGCUGUUCUGUUGUUGCUUUCUGAUAGAACAAAGCAUGUUUCUGUGGAGAUCACCUGAUAUCAAAGUCAUAAACUUUUCCACCAGGUGUCAGUGUACUGUUGUAAAACUGCCUCUAUAUUCAAACUGUAACUUUAGAAAAUUUCAAAUUUGUAACAUAUUGUAUGUUUUAUACACAUAUUAUUAUACAUAUUGAUAAUAAAACAAACAAAAGAACAAUAUGUGAUUUAUAUUCAGAUUUAUUAGAACUGCAUUUCCCCCCCCAAAAAAAUUAAUGUAUGUAUUCUAUGUACUUCUGUGAAUGCAGGGCCAGUCUAUUAAAUGACUUAACUGUU